rnacentral:rRNA from 1 species
UACGAAGGGGGCUAGCGUUGCUCGGAAUGACUGGGCGUAAAGGGCGCGUAGGCGGCCUCCUAAGUCGAACGUGAAAUCCCCGGGCUCAACCCGGGAACUGCGUCCGAUACUGGCAGGCUUGAAUCCGGGAGAGGGAUGCGGAAUUCCAGGUGUAGCGGUGAAAUGCGUAGAUAUCUGGAGGAACACCGGUGGCGAAGGCGGCAUCCUGGACCGGUAUUGACGCUGAGGCGCGAAAGCCAGGGGAGCAAACGGGG